CCUACGGGAGGCUGCAGUGGGGGAUAUUGCACAAUGGGGGGAACCCUGAUGCAGCGACGCCGCGUGGGUGAAGGAGUAUUUCGGUAUGUAAAGCCCUAUCGGCAGGGAAGAAAUUGGACGGUACCUGACUAAGAAGCCCCGGCUAACUACGUGCCAGCAGCCGCGGUAAUACGUAGGGGGCAAGCGUUAUCCGGAUUCACUGGGUGUAAAGGGAGCGUAGACGGCCAUGCAAGCCAGGGGGGAAAGCCCGGGGCCCAACCCCGGGACUGCGCUUGGAACUGCAUGGCUGGAGUGCGGGAGGGGGAGGCGGAAUUCCUGGUGUAGCGGUGAAAUGCGUAGAUAUCAGGAGGAACACCGGCGGCGAAGGCGGCCUGCUGGACCGCGACUGACGUUGAGGCUCGAAAGCGUGGGGAGCGAACAGGAUUAGAUACCCGGGUAGUC
rnacentral:rRNA from 1 species